CAAGGCUUGACAUACACCGGAAACAUCCAGAGAUGGGUGCCCCCUUGUGGUCGGUGUACAGGUGGUGCAUGGCUGUCGUCAGCUCGUGUCGUGAGAUGUUGGGUUAAGUCCCGCAACGAGCGCAACCCUUGUCCCGUGUUGCCAGCAGGCCCUUGUGGUGCUGGGGACUCACGGGAGACCGCCGGGGUCAACUCGGAGGAAGGUGGGGACGACGUCAAGUCAUCAUGCCCCUUAUGUCUUGGGCUGCACACGUGCUACAAUGGCCGGUACAAAGAGCUGCGAUACCGUGAGGUGGAGCGAAUCUCAAAAAGCCGGUCUCAGUUCGGAUUGGGGUCUGCAACUCGACCCCAUGAAGUCGGAGUCGCUAGUAAUCGCAGAUCAGNUGUGCG
rnacentral:rRNA from 1 species